rfam:Dipodomys ordii contig_45614, whole genome shotgun sequence.
GGUGGCUCAGUGGUAGAGCACUUGCCUUGCAUGCUCGAGACCCUGGGUUCGAUUCCUCAGCACCA